GAACAAAUUGGAACGUGUAAAACUCCAUGGGUUUGCAUAUGCAUAGCUGUACUUCUCUUAUUUCAAGUUGAAUAAUACUAGUGCAUGAAGAGUUAUAUAUAGAUGAUGUAUAAAAAAAAGUGAGAAAAAAGAGUUUUUUCUUAUUUGAUUGAAUUCUAGUCCAAUCGUAUCUCACAUCAUGUGUAUAUAAAUUAUUAUGUACAUGUAGCACAAUCGUUUCUAGUUUAUACAAUUCUAGUCUAUGCUAUAUUAGAACACAAUGUGCAAUAUGAACAAAUAUAUUAUCGAGUCGAGUCUACUGUUUUAGCUCAAGGAAUGUAUGUUGUAUCUUUUAAACAAAGUUGCUCACCUUAGC
rnacentral:lncRNA from 1 species